rnacentral:rRNA from 1 species
AGAGUUUGAUCCUGGCUCAGAACGAACGCUGGCGGCAGGCUUAACACAUGCAAGUCGAACGAUAAACCCCCCUCGGGGGGUGGACAGUGGCAGACGGGUGAGUAACGCGUGGGAAUCUACCCUGAGGUUUGGGACAACCAUUAGAAAUGAUGGCUAAUACCAAAUAUGUUUGCCCCUCUUAGCGGGGGGCAAAGAAAGAUUUAUCGCCUUUGGAUGAGCCCGCGUCAGAUUAGUUUGUUGGUGGGGUAAUGGCCUACCAAGACUGCGAUCUGUAGCUGGUCUGAGAGGACGAUCAGCCACAUUGGGACUGAGACACGGCCCAGACUCCUACGGGAGGCAGCAGUGGGGAAUAUUGCACAAUGGGCGCA